UUGUAAAAUAUAAAUUGGAAAUUGUAAAUUAACUAUUUAGUUGUCUCAGUUAUAGCACAUUACUGUAUUCAGUUCGCGUUAAAUAACCAUCGUUUCCUGUUUAAUCCAUUCUAAAUAAAUAAGAAAAUC